AACAAAAUCAUUAUUUUGUAGAAGACAUUACAAAAUCAUUGUCACCCAUUGGUGGUCAAUAGCUAUUUAAAAGUUCAAAUGAUCAAGAACAUGCUUUAAGUCUGUACUAUACUUUUUUUUUCUCCAAAGGGUCUUUACUAUUAUGGAAAACAUCCAACAAAAAUCAACUUUUGCCCUGAAGUAGGGUAUCGGCCCAAAAUGUUAACUGCUCACACUUUUCCAUGGAUGCUGCACGACCUGCUGAGUUCCUCCAGCAUUUUUUGUGUGUUGCUUUGUUUAUAAAAUGUUGCUGAGCAACUAUAUCAGCACACCAUAUGGGUGAUUAGUGAAUUAAAACUUCAUGGAUAGCUGAAGUUAGUGGGAUAAAGAAGGGAAAUGGUUACAAUAAUAAACAGGGAAGAAGUUUUUCAUUCUUCUGAGACAUCACAACUUUGGAACUGAAGUUAACAAGCUAAAUAAAAAUGGAGAUAACACCAGGGUUUUUUUUUCUCUCUCCUUACAACGUUAAAAACCGUCUUACAGUUUAAACAAUUUUAUUUGUUAAUAAUUCCAGUCAAAGCAAAAUUCAAAGGGAUUAAAAAAAAAGAAUACUUAAAAAGAAAAUAUCAAGUAGCAAAUGCUGUGUCAAAAGGUUUAUUUCAUGAUUUCCCUCCAUAGAUGCUGCUUGACCUGCUGAGUUCUUCCCAUUUUUUGGAGAUUUUUUUUUGUUGAAAAUUCCAGUGUGCAGUGUUUUUAACCCUGAAUUUUGAUAGGGUUAGAUUGCCAAAUCCUUUUGAAAUCUUAGUUCCCAAUAUUUCUAAAAGAGCGGUUUCUUGGAUAUACAAGGUAAACUUGCCACUGAUAUUAAGAUAGCAGCUUACUUGGAAGAACACCCUCAGAGGAUACCUAGGUUAAGAAAAUAACCAAAACAUUUUGGUAAAGAUAAGAGAUUCUGCAGAUGCUCGAAAUCUUGACCAAUACACACAAAAUGCUGGAGGAACUCAGCAAGUCAGGCAGCAUCUCUGGAGGAGAAUAAACAAUCGAUGUUUUGGGCUGAAACCCUUCAUCUGGGUUGGAAAGGAAGGCGGAAGAAGCCAGAAUAAGGUUGGGGGGAGGAGGGAGGGAUUACAAGAUGGCAGAUACUAGUUGAGACCAGGUGAGGGGGUAUGAUGUAAGAAGCUGGGAGAUGAUAAGGUAAGGAGCUGAAGGAGGAAUCUAAUAGGAGGAAACAGUGGACCAUGGAAGAGAAGGAGGGGAACAAGGGCAGGUGAGGAGAAGGGGUGAGAAGAGAACCCAGAAUGAGGAAUGUUAAGAGAAAGGAGAAGGGUAGAAAUGACCAGAAAUUUGAGAAAUUGAUGUUCGUGCAUUGCAUUAGGGACUACCCAGAUGGAAUACAAGGUGUUUUUCCUCCAAACUGAGUAUGGCCUCGUCAUUAUAGUAGAGACAGCCAUGGCGGAAUGGGAAGUUGAACUGAAAUGGGUUGCCUCUGGGAGAUCCUGGCUUUUGUGGCAGACGAAGCAAAGGUGCUUGAUGACGUGGUCCCUCAAUCUACGCUGGGUCACACCAAUGUACAGGGGGCUGCACUAGAUACAAAUUGAUGACUCUGACAGACUCACAGUUGUUGUUUGCCUCACAUGGAAGGACUGUUUGGGGUCUUAAAUAGUGGUGAUACUGGGGCAGGUGAUACUAGAACUUGUUAUGCUUACAGGGAUAGUGCCAGGAGUUAGAUUGGUGGGGAUGGAUGAGUGGAUAAGGGAGUCAAGUAGAGAGUGACCACUAUAGAAUGUUGUGUGUGUAUGUGUGUGUGGUGUGAAGAAUUAUGUGCUGGAUCAAGAGGCUCGUGGGGUGGUAGCUAAGGACAAGGAGAACCCUAUCCCUGUUAUGACGGCAGAAGGAUGGACCGAAAAUGAUGUGCUGGAUACAGAAAAUAUUUUUUAGUACUUAAGAUUAUUAUAACAAUGGCUACUUUUCAUCAUGAUAAUCAUUAAAAUGGAGAUCUGUUGCAACCACACAAGCUCAGAAAUGUGAUGAUGGCCAAAAUGUCCCACUGUCAUUACAAAACGAAACUAACAGCAUCUUGGGAAUCUUUUUAGUGAACACAUUUUUAAAAGCAGAAAAGCUGAACUUGCUGUCGGUGAUUCAGCCUUUCUCCACGAGCUGCACAGUUUGUGCCGUUUUCACCAAAGUCAAAGGAAAUAAGUAGAACUACAAGAAUCUGGUAUUUUUGAACUGGUCCAGUUGUGAAAUAUCCCAAAAUGUAACAGUAUUGCACAAAUCUAAGUGAGAUUUUAAUGGUACACAGUAAGAUUCCAAUAAUCUGAUUAUUUGGAAACCCCAGUGAUCCAGCAUCUAGCUCACUGUGUGAUGUUUGUGUUUCUCACAUCGUUUUCUAGCACAUUAUUACACUGGUGCUGGUUCUUGUUUUCAUAUGGAACUUGAAAUUUUACUUUUCCUACCAAUUUUCACCUUGUUGUCAUCACAAAAUAGCCCCUGACUCUUCUCCUCCCUUUCUGCAACAAAUACUUUUUUUUCCAAAACUACUGACUCACACAGCUAUUUUAAUUAUACUUCUUUUGGCUGUGUGUUCUGUAAGGACUAUUCCAUUCUCCCUGUUUCUGCCACCAUCAUAUUUGCUAUAAUGAUGAGAAUUACCACACAGGUACUUUAGAGAGAUUUUCCUCCUUAUUAAGUUGUUUCCCUUUACCGAAGUUGAUAAGGGUCUGUGAUUACAUCUCACUUAUUCUCCGCAAGUCUGGUCGCAACCCUCUCCUGCACAGAGCAAAACUAGAGUUCCAUGUGCCCCCUCCUCCCACCAUUCACAUCUAAUGCAGCACCAAUCACAACUUAUGUGCCUAAAAUGAGAUUUCCCCAAGAACCAUUCCCUUUGCGACUUGAUGGUCUGUCUGUCUUCUGUCCCACCAACCACUGAAAAUCUGUUAUUUUCUCAUACAACUACAGGGGAUCCAACACCUGUCUUUUUUACCUUUUCCCUUCCAAUUAUCCAGCUGAAAGUAGCAAUUCAUUUUCUCUUCCUCCAACUGAGUGCAAUGAAUUCAAAUGUUCACAACCUGGUAUCAUCUGCUUUGGGAAGACCAAAAGCAAAGUGCAAGAACAUCACUAUUCAGAAUGCAGGAGCAACCCUGGACUUGUUGCAGCUUGCCACUUUAGUUCACCAGCCCAGUCCUACUCUCAGCUUUCUGCUGGUAGAGUAUUCCAUCUGAAUCAGGCUAAAUUGCUUUUGCAUUGCAUUUUAAUAGAUUUGUUCUUUCUUAUCUAAGCACCAUGCAAGCUUCUACUUUCAGGAAAUGAUGCACUACACAAGGGAACAACCUCUCCCAGAGAAGCUCCAAAGCCUCAAAUUUAAAGCACUCCCUCUUUUGCUAGUCCUCCAGUCAUGAAUUUGCUCCAUCUUCCUACUUAUGUAUUUGUCAGCAUGUGUCACUGGAACAAUUACUUUGUUGCCCUGUAUUUUAAGAUUUUUCCUAGUUCUCUAAAAUGCUUGCACUUCCUCAUCCAGCCACAGCCCCCUCUCCCUUAUUCUACACCCUUCCCCUUCAGGAGGUAUUCGAGCUAUCCAGUGACAUUGACCUUCGCACGCAGGAGACAAAUGUUUAAGUUGUAUCCAUGCCCAAAGAAGCACCUUUUUGAUUCUCUAAGUUAUUGAUCUCUCUUCUUCCUCCAUUACUAUGCAUUGUUACCAUACUCCCAAAGUGAUCGCAUUAUGUAUUUUGAUGCGGAGAAAUUGCAUAAUUUCAAUAAUUACAGCACCUUUUCCACCUCCAAUGCUUUUUGGCACGUUAUAACCUAACCUCUAUUUCAAUCAAUAUGCCCAAAGCUUCUCUGAACUUUACUCAUUGUGUUACUAAAUUACAAAUAUAUUGCCCCUUUAAUCCAUAUCCAGUUUUAAAAUAAAAAAUAACUUUGUAACCACUUGCACAAACGCACUCUUUCCCGGGCCACAAAGACGGGAAAUCCUAGUCCUUCAUUUUACAGUUUGCUUAUGCUCACAGAAAAUGUUCCGUGUAUAUAAAAAGACACUGCAAAACAAAGUAAUAAAUAAGAUAGCCAACACAUGUCGGGGCACGCCAUGAAUACAAAUUUUACAAACUCUCCGUCAUUUCUAACUAUCAUGUGGCCGUACUGGAAAUCUUCUGGCUAAGAUUUCUCCCCAAUAGCCCCGGCUGCCCGCGCAGUCUUUUAACUCCUAGUCUUACAAUGGGCCCGCUUCCUGCCGCACUGCGCCGCGCCGGCGGCUCAGUUUUAUAGGAGCUCCCAGCACAGCAGCGGCAGGUUAACCAAUGGGGCGGGCAGCGAGCGCGGCCGCCGUUACCCAGGCCUAUGCGCUCGUCGUUUAACUUCACGUCUGCAACGAGCGACCAGGCCGAACAAGAAGGGAGGAGGGCGCCAUGUUGCUGCCGUCGGCGGGGAGCAGCGAACUGAACAAGCUCCAACAGAACUAUCAUCUUCAUACUUUCUCUCUGUGCUGUCCUCAGAGGAUUUACUGCAGCAAUCAUAUGUUCUUCCUCCUGAUCCCAGACGGGUUCGGCACCGCGCUCCAGGACUGUUUUGACCAGACGAACUGGCAGAUGUUCAAGGUGGCCACAACAGAGCAGACAUAAACCUCAAGAAUAUGCCUCAUCUGUCAUCAGCUACAUCAGUAGAAGAAGAUGGUGCCAGUUUUCCAGGAGAAAAGGAACAGCUUUAGAAUUUAAAUAUUAUAUGUUAAGCAAAGGUGGUCAGCAUUCAUAGAAAAAAAUCAAUCAGGCUGAAUAGAAUGCUGUUGGUUAAGUGUGUAAAACAAAACAGUGUCUUUGGCCAUUAUUCUUCAAACUUUCUUGGAUAUGAGACUGGCAGUUUGAAAAUGUUACAUGCCUGUGGAGAAGGAUAAAUUCAAUAACCACAUACCAGGCAAAGCAGUGUCAGUAAUGGAGAAACUACCUGGCAUUUUAUCUGAGCCAAUGAGAAUCUGUGGUUGCAAAAAUAAAUAUUAAGGAACAUGUUCCAGUAUGAAAACAGGAAAAUAGUUUUCAACAAACUUAGAUUGACUGCCUAGAUUAUUGACAUGAUCAAUAAGGCUCAUUAGGGUAGUGUGGUUAAUAGUGCAAAAUAGACUUCAAAUACUAUUGAACAAAUGCCACAAAGUAAACCUGAAACACACAAAAUUAAUGUAAGUAAAGGUGUAUACACUAGAAACAUAUGUAAAGGGUUGCUACAGGAAUGUUACCUGUUGCACGAAUGACUGCUUCAAUGAGAUGCAGCACAAUGAACUCAAAUGUUCUCAAUCUUACCAAUAAAAGGCCUUUCUGACAAAGCCCAAUCGAAUUUUCCCAAGCUAUAUUGCCAGCAGAAAAACAUCAUUUGAUGGGAGUUUGAUGCUAAAAUCAUUUCAGGUAUCUUUGUGUAUGUAACUAAUGUUCGUAAGUGUCUGGUCAAAAUUUUUGGAUGUUGAGAAAGCUAAAAAUAGUUGAUACUUGUCCUAUUUGUCAGGUGUUUAUUUCCAUAAGCCAGAGUUGAACUAAGAGAUUGAUAUUAAAAUUGCUUAAUUUAAUGUAUAGUAAUAAAGUAGACCUGGGUAUAGAUGCCAUGAUUUCAAAAUUGCAAUAAAUACACAAAAUGAAAAUGCAAUAUAUGAAGGCAGUAGUCAACUUAAAAAUAGAAUAGAUACAAUGACUGAAUAGUUAGUCACGUGGCAGAUAAAAUUCAAUGCAAUAUAGCAGUAGCCUUUAGAAAGAAGGUCAACUGGAGAUAUUAUAAAUUGAAUAGUACAACUUUGAAGGAGGUAUAGAAAUUGAAAGAUUGGCAAUACAACAUACAAUUAUUUAUAAAUAUACAGCUAGUACAAAAGCAAGCAAAUACUGAGCUUAAUAAAACAGGCAUGAGUCAAUGAUAGUUUCACUUCCUCCAAGUCAGAUGGUUGCAACUUUAAUUUUUGGGAUUUGAGUACAAAAUAUGGACUGAACUCAGAGAGGGUGCAGAAGAGGCAAAAGAGGUUUACUAUAAUGAUUCCAGUAAUAAAGGACUUUAGUUAUGCAAACGGACUGGAGAAAUUGGGAGCGGACUUGAUAAUAGGCCCUCAAUAUCAUGAAGGAUUUAGCCAGUGGAAUUGGAGAGAACCCAAUUUGAUUGCCAAAAAGAACCAGAGGA